GCAUAUCCAUAGCGGAGGAAAAGAAACCAACAGGGAUUGCCCCAGUAACGGCGAGUGAAGCGGCAAGAGCUCAAAUUUGAAAGCUGGCUCCUUCGGGGUCCGCAUUGUAAUUUGCAGAGGAUGCUUCGGGAGCGGUCCCCAUCUAAGUGCCCUGGAACGGGACGUCAUAGAGGGUGAGAAUCCCGUAUGGGAUGGGGUGUCCGCGCCCGUGUGAAGCUCCUUCGACGAGUCGAGUUGUUUGGGAAUGCAGCUCUAAAUGGGUGGUAAAUUUCAUCUAAAGCUAAAUAUUGGCCGGAGACCGAUAGCGCACAAGUAGAGUGAUCGAAAGAUGAAAAGCACUUUGAAAAGAGAGUUAAAAAGCACGUGAAAUUGUUGAAAGGGAAGCGCUUGCGACCAGACUCGCUCGCGGGGUUCAGCCGGCAUUCGUGCCGGUGUACUUCCCCGCGGGCGGGCCAGCGUCGGUUUGGGCGGUCGGUCAAAGGCCCUCGGAAGGUAACGCCCCCAGGGGCGUCUUAUAGCCGAGGGUGCAAUGCGACCUGCCUAGACCGAGGAACGCGCUUCGGCUCGGACGCUGGCAUAAUGGUCGUAAACGACCCGUCUUGAAACACGGACCAAGGAGUCUAACAUCUACGCGAGUGUUCGGGUGUCAAACCCGUGCGCGAAGUGAAAGCGAACGGAGGUGGGAACCCUUACGGGUGCACCAUCGACCGAUCCUGAAGUCUUCGGAUGGAUUUGAGUAAGAGCGUAGCUGUUGGGACCCGAAAGAUGGUGAACUAUGCCUGAAUAGGGCGAAGCCAGAGGAAACUCUGGUGGAGGCUCGUAGCGGUUCUGACGUGCAAAUCGAUCGUCGAAUUUGGGUAUA
rnacentral:rRNA from 1 species